UCUAUUCAUUUCUCGGGAAAAACUUAUAUUUUGGUUGCAGUAAUUCUCCUUGAAUUGACAUCUUUGUUAGUGAGGUACCGUAGGGCUUGAUUUCUAGCUUUAAUGUGGUUUACACCAAGGCCUCCAACCGGCAUGGGAGCGGUGUCGUUUUUCAAGUAACAAGUUGAUAGCUUCUGUUGUUUUUAGCGCUUCCCAUAGGUAAUUUUCUUUAGGUUGUUGGCAGCCUUAAUAGGGAUAUGAGAGAAAGAUAACUAAUCUCUCCUAAAAGUCAUUUGGAGUAUGUGGUAGCUGAGCGAAUAGCCCUUGUGUUCCAGGUGGUAAGACGCGGGAAGCGCAGUAAGUCCGUUGGCAAGCUCGGGUGCUUAGUCAUAUGAAAAAUUAUGAAGAAAAUCUUAUCUACAACCUGACACCUUUAUUAGAGACAAAACAGAGAUUGGCAACUUGUCAGCCACACAGUGAAGGCUCGCAUGUGAAUUAAUAGUGUUUGUCUUUGUAAAUUAUUAGUCUUUUAAAUUAUUAGGGUCCUGUCCUGCUAGAUUUGAUCUUAUCUCUUAGUUUACGUUUUUCAAAUCUAAGUUCAAAUCUGAAGUCUAUAAAAUGACUUCAUCAAUGUAAAGAUGGCAUCGAUCGGCCGAUAGCUCUCUCUUGAAUAUCAAUUGAAAAAUUCAGAGAAAAAUUAUUCUACUC